rnacentral:rRNA from 1 species
UUCGAGGCUUUGAGAGAUGGAGAAAACAUCUUGAGCUAAGGCGUGAGUACGAGCUGCUACGGCAGCGAAGUUGGUGAUGUCAUGCUUCCAAGAAAAGCCCUAUACUCGUUAAGACACAAAUGCCAGUACCCGAAACCGACACAGGUGGGGUGGUAGAGAAUACCGAGGGGCGCGAGAUAACUCUCUCUAAGGAACUCGGCAAAAUGGCCCCGUAACUUCGGGAGAAGGGGUGCCAGCGAGAGCUGGUCGCAGUGAAGAGGCGCAAGCGACUGUUUACCAAAAACACAGGUCUCCGCUAAGUCGCAAGACGAUGUAUGGGGGCUGACACCUGCCCAGUGCCGGAAGGUUAAGGAAGCUGGUUAGCUUUUAGUGAAGCUGGCGACUGAAGCCCCGGUGAACGGCGGCCGUAACUAUAACGGUCCUAAGGUAGCGAAAUUCCUUGUCGGGUAAGUUCCGACCCGCACGAAAGGUGUAACGAUUUGCGCGCUGUCUCGGAGAGAGGCUCGGCGAAAUAGAAUUGUCUGUGAAGAUGCGGACUACAUACACCCGGACAGAAAGACCCUAUGAAGCUUUACUGUAGUUUGAUAUUGUGCUCGGGCUCUGAAUGCGCAGAAUAGGUGGGAGACGUUGAAAUAGUGCUUGUGGGUACUAUUGAGUCAUCGGUGAGAUACCACUCUUUUAGAGCUAGAGUUCUAACGCUUACCCGUUAUCCGGGAAGCGGACAGUAUCUGAUGGGCAGUUUGACUGGGGCGGUCGCCUCCUAAAAGUAACGGAGGCGCACAAAGGUUCCCUCAGGCUGGUUGGAAAUCAGUCGUUGAGUGCAAAAGCAGAAUGGAGCUUGACUGUGAGACCUACAAGUCGAACAGGACGAAAGUCGGUUUUAGUGAUCCGACGGUUCUGCGUGGAAGGGCCGUCGCUCAACGGAUAAAAGUUACUCUAGGGAUAACAGGCUGAUCUCCCCCAAGAGUUCACAUCGACGGGGAGGUUUGGCACCUCGAUGUCGGCUCAUCGCAACCUGGGGCUGAAGUCGGUCCCAAGGGUUGGGCUGUUCGCCCAUUAAAGCGGUACGCGAGCUGGGUUCAGAACGUCGUGAGACAGUUCGGUCCAUAUCCGGUGUAUGCGCAGGAAUAUUGAGAGGAUUUCUCCCUAGUACGAGAGGACCGGGAGGAACGCACCUCUGGUGUGCCAGUUAUCGUGCCAACGGUAAACGCUGGGUAGCCAUGUGCGGAGUGGAUAACCGCUGAAAGCAUCUAAGUGGGAAGCCCACCUCAAGAUGAGUAUUGCCAUGGCUUAAGCCAGUAAGGUCACGGGAAGAACACCCGUUGAUAGGCUCUACGUGGAAGCUUGGUAACAAGUGCAGCGGAGGAGUACUAAUAGACCGAGGGCUUGACCAA